AUGGCAGCCACAGGAAAUGAGGACACUUGGGGAGAUGGUCUAAAUGACCAAAGCCUGUGCCAAGAUGGUUUGAUUCAUUCUUUCGGAGGAGCUGACACCUUGGAAGUGUCAACAGCUGGAUGGCUCAGGAGGAUAAAGUCAGCCGAAUUGCUCUGCUCUAUCAGUGCUGUUGCAGAUUUUUGUUGUCACAACCGGCAGAGAGACUUUCCCAGGAGGCUCAGAGAUAGAUUACUGAGUUCUUGUGGAAUGCCACUCAUACUGCAAUGAAUAAAAGGGAUUUAUAAACGAACAACUGAGCAAUCACAAUGUAAGUGAUAUAACAAAUAUAUGUCCCAAGUGCUAUGGGGGUUCUGGAGGGACACCAAUAACUUCUGACAAGGUGCAGGGACUGGGUAGAUUUCACAGCCGUGAUAUUGGAUGUAGGUCUUGUUGUGACAGUUUUUAUUAACUUGGAGGAAUUUAGGACCAGAUACAUGGGUAGCAACAAUCUAGGUUAAAGACUAAUGGAACUCAAAUUCAGACAGGGGCAGCGGAGGUGUAUUUGAAACUUUUGGGAGGCUUGUUGAAUUGACUGCCUGUAGGGGCUGAGGGGGAUGGAGGAGUCACAGUGGCGGAUAUUCCUGCUUGAACACUGAGUAAAUAUGGGUACAUUGGCUUAGGUAGGAAACCCAGGAGGAAAGGACAUUUAGGGCACAAUAAUGAAUUUUAUUCUAGACGUGGUCAAUGUGAGGUGUCCAAAUGCAAUCCUGAGGGAAUGUCCAAUGGAGGUUUGCAUAGGCAAAGCUUAGAAGCAAGCUCUGUGCUGAACAGAUACAUAUAGGAGUGCUAAGUGUGGCAUGUAACAUCUUUUGUGAAAUAGUCCCUGGCUGUGCAUCUAGCUUUAUCUCUUGCUAUUUACCUCUCUCGUCGUGUUUGCCAAGCUUAUUCAACUACAUGCUGUUGGAUCCUCUCUCACUUCUGGUCUUUACAAAUGCCCUUAAUUGUGCCUGAAACACCUAUUCUCUGUAAAUUGACAGGGGUGGGGGGUGGGGAAGACCAAAAACAAAAGGAAAUAAAAUGACUGUCUCAGUGAAGAACUAACA
rnacentral:lncRNA from 13 species